AUUUGAUUGUACUAAUUAUAUUCAUUGAUUUACUGCAGAUUUGGAGAUGAAAAUGCUUAUUGAUGUGCGAUUCAGAUUUUCGUUUCAAAACUCCUUCUUCGACGAUGCCGCUUCGUAUGGGGUUGUCUGAUCGGAAGCUGCAUAUGUGAUUCUGCCACAGUUGGUAGAUGUUUACGGUCAGAGACAUUUGACAAGUGCGUUAGAGUGGAUGGGAAAACACUCUUUGAGUAUAUUUGUCCUUGUAUCUUCAAACUUGCCGUGAUUUUUAUUCAAGGAUUUUAUUUGAGGAAAUCUGAAAAUAACAUUGUAAGCAAAGAUAUUGUUGAUGUUGCAAGCUAUUUUAUAUUUUCAGAUGUUUCCAACAAACAAUUGAAAAUAUAUUUAGAAAAUAUGUUAUUCU